CAAAUUCACCUCCAGGGUUUUCAUUUUCCUUGUGUGCAUCACAGUAAUUCCAUUUUUUUUUAACUCUUUGUGGAAUUUCUCUGUGUACGUCCUCAGCCAUUGGGAGCUGAGCCUUUGUGCCUGUCACAAAUGUUUGAAAGAGGGUGAUCCAUGCUUAACAGACCUUAUCAAGGAGUCUCCUACACCUUUUUUGUCAAAGCAAUAUAGAACCCCAGAGGACGAUUUCAACUGGUGGAAGGUAAAUGUCAAUGUACUUUAAUGGCACAACACAAUUGUUCUGUUUCUGUUUUAGAUACACUGACUGGUCCUGCAGUAAAAUCUCCAUCUACUUUGGGUUUUUGUACAUUUUUUUCAUACCUUUUUUGAGAGGAAUUUCACCUGAGUGCUUCAUAAUGAAAGCCACCCCGUGCUUUGCAGCGAGGUGGAGCAGCAGCUGUGACAAAUGUUUGAGUUGUUUGAGAUCAUUUCAAAGAAGAUUACCCUGAAAAUACCAGAUUCUAUGCUGCAAUCGUUUGUGUAGUUAGCUCAUUUGAAUCCAUCUUUGGAAGAGUGAACUUCAUCACUAAGUGAAAUGAGAGAAAAAAAAUGGACAGAAAACAAAUGUCUAAAACAAGUCAUACAAAAAUGGUCUCUCUGGAAAGCUGCAGUGACCUCAUACUAAUGACCCUGAUAAACACCUUUCACAAGCUGCUCUGUACAUCUCCUCAUUUUUAUGUAUCCCUACAGUGGAGGUGGAGUGUGCAUGUCCCACAAAGCCACAGUAGACAUUAAUUAAUGAGAGAUAUAUGAGGUUGAAAUGAACAGAACUCUCCUUUAAGGACUGUAAGUUCAAGAAACCACAUCUCUGGUAGGUUGAGCUGCUGUGUGGUCAAUCGUACAGUGACAUCUUCCUUGUGUUGUGCUUGCCAGCGUUUACAGGGGUCAAAAUGCAACUUCACUUUCUUCAGUGCAACAAUGGACAAGCUGCUUCAGAUAUUCCCACCCGUUCCAGAUGUUUUAGAACCCAGGCCUCACCGCUGCAGGACGUGUGCUGUGGUGGGAAAUUCUGUAAAUUUGAAGGGAUCACAUUAUGGACCUCUGAUAGAUUUUCAUGAUAUUGUAAUAAGAAUGAACCGUGGUCGUACUACUGGCUAUGAAGCAGAUGUUGGGACCAAAACAACCCAUCAUGUCUUCUACCCAGAGAGCGCUACUUCGCUGGCAAACACCACUUAUCUUUUGUUUUUUCCAUUCAAGAUAAGCGACUUUCAGUGGCUCCUCAACAAACUUGAUCCAGAGUAGGUCAGACUGUUCUACUUUCUGUAUCCACUGUUGGUCUGUUGACUGUGAAAAAAAAACAAGUAAAAAUCAGUAUUGGGUCCAUAUUUGGAACUAAAACUUAGGCAAAUAUAACCCUAUUGGACUGACUUGAAGUACUGGUGCAAACAGCUGAACAACAUCUAUAAGGAGCUUUAGCUGACUGUGUGAAAAGUACAAUAGUGUGUGUUCAGUUCGCUUAUCAAUAGCUUCUCCAAAGAAACUUAGUUGGAUUUUCUCAUGAUUUCUUACUGUUUCAUUCACACACUCAACCUUGUUCUGACACACAACAUCUUCAAAGCCCCCUUUUGAUUUUACUGCUAUUUACAAUAGAUAAGAAGACAACUACUUUAUCAAAGCUCCAACACAUGCAGUGUCAUUGUGAGCGACUGUCAUAUGUCAUAAGUCACAUGCUGCAGAGAUGCAUGUGUUUUUAUCUGCGGUUAUUGGUUACAUCUACCUGUUCAGCGUUGCUUAUUUGUUGUUUCUCACUGUUCAUUUAUUCCUUCUGUCCUCUUACCCCAGCCAGACGAGAAAGGUGGCCAUCCAUUCCUUAAUGCACUUAGUCACCAAGCGCUUACUGAGGGUGUAAUUGUUGGGUUUCUCUCUCUCAUACUGUUAGGUCUUUACCUAUGUAAAGUUCCCUGAAUUUAGUUAUGUCUUGAUUUAGUGCUGCUGAAAUAAAAUGAAAUUGAAUUAAAGAAUGAAUUUUACCUCUAGCAGGGAAGGCAGUGCUGUGAACUCAAAGAGGAUAGCUAACAAGGAUCUGGUGAUGAUCCUCAAUCCAGCUUUCAUGAGGUAUGUUCAUGACGCUUGGCUGGGACAGAGGGGCUACUAUCCAUCCACGGGCUUUCUGACUUUUGCACUCAGCUUGCUGAUUUGUGAUG